rnacentral:sRNA from 1 species
AAGAGAUGCUUGGAAGACUCAGAAGCCUUUGGAGUAAAGAAAGCUAGAACUGAAGCUCGAAGCUUGGAUUCUGCCGUGCCACUCAUGAAUGGCGACACAGAAGAUGAUGCUGACAAAAUGCACGUUGAUAGGGAGUUUGCUGUUGUAACAGGUGGGAGUGGACAGUUUCCUGUUAGCUGCAACAACAAUCCAAUGGUCGAAGACACCAAACAGCAGGAGAGUGGUUCUGUUGGACCAAAAGAAAUAGAAAUAUAUACUGUGUCAGCAAUGCAGACCCCCUGUCGUUGCAGGAAUCAAUAUGAAAAACAGUAGCUCCGUAUCGAAUACAUUGACAAAUGGAUGUGUCAUCAAUGGACAUUUGGACUUCCCCUCCACGACCCCGCUCAGUGGGAUGGAAAGCAGGAAUGGCCAGUGCUUGACAGGAUCUAACGGAAUUAGCAGUGGAUUAGCCCCAGGACAGCCGUUUCCGAGUAGCCAGGGUUCUCUCUGCAUUAGUGGGACUGAGGAGCCAGAGAAGACCCUGAGAGCUAACCCUGAGUUGUGCGGUUCUCUGCACCUGAACGGGAGUCCAAGUAGCUGCAUAGCCAGUAGGCCUUCCUGGGUGGAAGACAUUGGGGAUAACCUGUACUAUGGACACUACC